UACGUAGGGGGCUAGCGUUGUUCGGAAUUACUGGGCGUAAAGCGCACGUAGGCGGAUUUGUAAGUCAGGGGUGAAAUCCCGGGGCUCAACCUCGGAACUGCCUUUGAUACUGCAAAUCUCGAGUCCGAUAGAGGUGGGUGGAAUUCCUAGUGUAGAGGUGAAAUUCGUAGAUAUUAGGAAGAACACCGGUGGCGAAGGCGGCCCGCUGGAUCGGUACUGACGCUGAGGUGCGAAAGCGUGGGGAGCAAACAGG
rnacentral:rRNA from 1 species